ensembl:lncRNA
GGCAUGUCCUUAUCAUGUCUUUUCCAUGUCCUUCUCACGUUCUUGUCAUGCCCUUCUCAUGUCCUUGGCGUGUCCUUCUCAUGUCCUUGGCAUGUCCUUAUCAUGUCUUUACCAUGUCCCUGGCGUGUCCUUCUAUCCUUGCAGUGUCAUUAUUACGUCCUUGGUGUGUCCUUAUCAUGUCCUUAUCGUGUCCUUGGCGUGUCCAUAUCACAUCUUUAUCAUGUCCUUAUCAUGUCCUUAUCAUGUCUUUACCAUGUCCUUCCCAUGUCCAUCUCACGUUCUUGUCAUGCCCUUCUCAUGUCCUUGACGUGUCCUUCUCAUGUCCUUGGCAUGUCCUUAUCAUGUCUUUACCAUGUCCUUUCCAUGUCCUUGGCAUGUCCUUCUCAUGUUCUUGUCAUGCCCUUCUCAUGUCCUUGACGUGUCCUUCUCAUGUCCUUGACAUGUCCUUCUCAUGUUCUUAUUGUGUCCUUCUCAUCUCCUUGGCGUGUCCUUCUCAUGUCCUUGGCGUGUCCUUCUCAUGUCCUUGGCAUGUCCUUGGCAUGUCCUUAUCACAUCCUUCUUGUGUCCUUCCCAUGCCCUUAUCACGUCCUUGUCAUGCCCUUCCCAUGUCCUUAAUGUGUCCUUCUCAUGUCCUUGGCAUGUUCUUGGCGUGUUCAGGCAGCCCUGGUAGAGAAGCGGAUCCUGGCCCGUGUUCACAGCCGCUUCAUCGUGUCCCUGGCCUGCGCCUUCCAGACCAAAACCGACCUCUGCCUCGUCAUGACGCUGAUGAACGGCGGCGACCUGCGGUAAGCGUGUCCUUAGCGUGUCCUUAGCGUGUCCUUAGCGUGUCCUUAGUGUGUCCUUAGCGUGUCCUUAGCGUGUCCUUGGCAUGUCCUUGGCAUGUUGUUGCCAUGUUAGUGGCGUAUCCUCACCAUAUCCUUACCAUAUCCUUGGCGUGUCCUUAGCGUGUCCUUAGUGUGUCCUUAGCGUGUCCUUAGCGUGUCCAUAGCGUGUCCUUAUGUCCUUAGUGUGUUCUUAGCAUGUUCUUAGCGUGUCCUUAGCGUGUCCUUAGCAUGUUCUUAGUGUGUUCUUAGUGUGUCCAUAGCGUGUCCUUAUGUCCUUAGUGUGUUCUUAGCAUGCCCUUAGAGUGUUCUUGUUGUGUCCUUAGCGUGUUCUUAGUGUGUCCUUAGUGUGUCCAUAGUGUGUCCUUAGCGUGUCCUUAGUGUGUUCUUAGCAUGCCCUUAGAGUGUUCUUGUUGUGUCCUUAGUGUGUUCUUAGUGUGUCCUUAGCGUGUCCUUAGCGUGUCCUUAGUGUGUCCUUAGCGUGUCCUUAGUGUGUCCUUAGCGUGUCCUUAGUGUGUUCUUGGCAUGUCCUUAGCAUGUCCUUGGCAUGUUGUUGCCGUGUUAUUGGCGUAUACUCACCAUAUCCUUACCAUAUCCUUGGCAUGUCCUUGGCAUGUUGUUGCUGUGUUAUUGGCACAUCCUUACCAUAUCAUUACCUCAUCCGUACCACAUUCUCACCAUGUUGCUACCAUGUCCCUAGCGUGUCCGUAGCGUGUCCUUAGCAUGUCCUUAGCGUGUCCUUGGCAUGUCCUUGGCAUGUCUUUAACAUGUCCUUGGCAUGUCCUUGGCAUGUCUUUAACAUGUCCUUGGCAUGUCCUUGGAAUGUUGGUGCCGUGUUAUUGGCGUAUCCUCACCAUAUCCUUACCAUGUCCUUGGCAUGUCCUUGGCAUGUUAUUGGCAUGUUAUUGGCAUAUCCUUACCAUGUCCUUACCAUAUCCUUGGCAUGUUCUUGGCAUGUCCUUAGCAUGUCCUUGUCAUGUUCUUGGCGUGU